GAAUAUCCGUCGGGGUGCCUAAAAAUUAGGCUGAGAAGUGCUCGUGCUGACCCGUCGAACCUGAUCCGGGCAAUACCGGCGUAGGGAACGGAUGACCGGCCAGA
rnacentral:ncRNA from 2 species